rnacentral:rRNA from 1 species
ACGCUGGCGGCAGGCCUACACAUGCAAGUCGAACGACAUAGUGGCAGACGGGUGAGUAACGCGUGGGAACGUACCUUUCGCUACGGAAUAGCUCUGGGAAACUGGUGGUAAUACCGUAUACGCCCUUCGGGGGAAAGAUUUAUCGGCGAAAGAUCGGCCCGCGUUAGAUUAGGUAGUUGGUGGGGUAAUGGCCUACCAAGCCUACGAUCUAUAGCUGGUCUGAGAGGAUGAUCAGCCACACUGGGACUGAGACACGGCCCAGACUCCUACGGGAGGCAGCAGUGGGGAAUCUUGCACAAUGGGCGAAAGCCUGAUGCAGCCAUGCCGCGUGAAUGAUGAAGGCCUUAGGGUUGUAAAAUUCUUUCGCCAGGGAUGAUAAUGACAGUACCUGGUAAAGAAGCCCCGGCUAACUUCGUGCCAGCAGCCGCGGUAAUACGAAGGGGGCUAGCCGUUGUUCGGAAUUACUGGGCGUAAAGCGCACGUAGGCGGACUUUUAAGUCAGAUGUGAAAUCCCGGGGCUCAACCUCGGNACUUGCAUUUGAAACUGGAAGUCUGGAGUUUCAGGGAG